CGGUGUGAUCAUACUAGCAUUAAUGUAUUGGAUUUUCAGAACUUUAAAGUUAAGUAUUCUUAAGCAAGAGUAAUAUUAGGAUGGGUGAUCUCCUAUGAAGUUUUUGUAUUACACCCC
rnacentral:rRNA from 1 species